rnacentral:rRNA from 3 species
CAAAACGACUCUCGGCAACGGAUAUCUCGGCUCUCGCAUCGAUGAAGAACGUAGCGAAAUGCGAUACUUGGUGUGAAUUGCAGAAUCCAGUGAACCAUCGAGUCUUUGAACGCAAGUUGCGCCCAAAGCCUUUUGGUUGAGGGCACGUCUGCCUGGG